GGAUACAGGUGGUGCAUGGUUGUCGUCAGCUCGUGUCGUGAGAUGUUGGGUUAAGUCCCGCAACGAGCGCAACCCUUAUUACUAGUUGCCAUCAUUAAGUUGGGCACUCUAGUGAGACUGCCGGUGAUAAACCGGAGGAAGGUGGGGAUGACGUCAAAUCAUCAUGCCCCUUAUGACCUGGGCUACACACGUGCUACAAUGGAUGGUACAACGAGUCGCCCACCCGCGAGGGUGCGCUAA
rnacentral:rRNA from 1 species